ACUUACUCCGUGAAUCGG
rnacentral:snRNA from 1 species